rnacentral:rRNA from 1 species
CCUAUCCGGCGCGGGCGUAAGAUAUCUGAGAGGAGCUGUCCUUAGUACGAGAGGACCGGGAUGGACUGACCACUGGUGUACCGGUUGGGGAGCAACCCCACGGCCGGGUAGCCAAGUCGGGCCGGGAUAAACGCUGAAGGCAUCUAAGCGUGAAGCCCCCCUCAAGAUGGGAUAUCUCAUGCGAGAGUAGUAAGACCCCUUUAAGACUAAGAGGUAGAUAGGGCAGAGGUGUAAGCGUAGCGAUACGUUCAGCUGACUGUCACUAAUCGGUCGAGGGUUUAACCA